CGUCAACAUCAGCUCCCACCAGCGAGGACGGCGCGAGGAAGCGAAGCGGGGCAGGCGCAACGCCGCCCGCUCGUGGGGCCGCAGGCGGGGCGGCAAGGGCGCGAGUUCCUGCCAAAUGCUGGAUGCCAGCUCGUUUGGCCUCUCGACAGCUUAGUGGACUAGUUGGUGCAUUUCUGUUAUCGUGGACUGCGCAUAUAAACGCAAACUACACAAGGUAACAUGGACAAGAGCGCAAGCGCUUUCCAUGGAGUGGAGCCGCCUUGUCUCGCCGUUCAGAAUAUAUGGGUACUUGAAGAAAAAAAGAAGAGCUUUAUAUGAGAACGGACCAAGCGUUCGAGAGUUGGGACAAGGAAAUGAAACAUUGGAACGACACUGCUUAAAUUGAAGCAUGGUGUGCGAAUGACCUGCUACACUCGGAAUUGUUAUCACCAUUCGCGAAGAAAUCAGAUGAAAAAAGAAAACUGUAAAUACCCAGUACUGUACGAUAAACGUCUGGUGUAUUGCAGGUAAGAAUGGAUUGUGUGUAGCACUUCUCCGCAUAUGGACUUGAGUAGCUCUAGGAACAGCAGACAAAGAGGCAUGUACGUGAAAUACUGUGGACAGCCGUUUAUAUGAGCACUGUAACAAUAUCCAAGCUUCACUCUCGACGGGGACAGAGAAAUACCGGAUGCUGUACCGUUCAGAGCCAAGAACAUGGAACGGCUGAAAAAGAGUCUCCAAGGCAGUAUGCGAAACUAUCACAGCAGACCAGCGCCGUCCUUUAGCUGUAUCGUACUAUUUCAAUGAACAAAGACUGCUUGCAAAUUGCUAACACUGCUGCACGAAAAAAAUAAUGUAUUUUAUGAUUGCAAAAUAAACCCCUA